AGGCCGCCGGGCCUACCAUGCAGUCGAACGGUAGCACAGAGGACCUUGCUCUUUGGGUGACGAGUGGCGGACGGGUGAAAAGUGUCUGGAGAUCUGCCCGGUAGAGGGAGAUAACCAGUGGAAACGGGGGCUAAUACCGUAUAGUGUCGCAAGACCAAAGGGGGGGACCUUCGGCCCUCACUCUCCCGGAUGACCCCAGAGGGGAUUCGCUAGUGGGGGGGGUAACGGCUCCCCGGGGCGACGACCCCUAGGUGGUCUGAGAGGAUGACCCCCCACUGUGGAACUGACACAGUGUCCAGACCCCUACGGGAGGCAGCAGGGGAAAAUUUUGCACAAUGGGCGCAACCCAGAUGCCCCCGCGCCGCGUGUAAAAAAAAGGCCUUCGGGUUGUAAMSUWUYYWSCGSGGRGAAGGAAGGGAUGAUYGCUUAAAUAUACRCMUCSUCWWUGACKUWCCCSSCARAARAAGCACCGGGCUAWCUYCGUUGCCMGCASCCGCGRUAAUACRGAGGGUGCAAGCKUUWWAUCRAAAUUACUGGGCGUAAAGCGCACCGCASGCGGUCUGUUAASUCAKAUGURAAAUCCSCGGUCUCAAACCCGRRAACUGCWUUUGAAWCUGGCAGGCUUGASUCUCGUAGAGGGGKGUAGAWWUUCCRKGUGUMGCKGURAWAUGCRUAGAGMUCUGGARGAAUACSGGKGGCGAAGCGCGSCCCCCGUGSAMRAAGACUSACGCUCAGGUGCGAAAGCGUGGGGAGCAAACAGGAUUAGAUACCUGGUAGUCCACGCCGUAAACGAUGUCGACUUGGAGGCUGUUCCCCUGAGGAGUGGCUUCCGGAGCUAACGCGUUAAGUCGACCGCCUGGGGAGUACGGCCGCAAGGUUAAAACUCAAAUGAAUUGACGGGGGCCCGCACAAGCGGUGGAGCAUGUGGUUUAAUUCGAUGCAACGCGAAGAACCUUACCUGGCCUUGACAUCCACGGAAUUCGGCAGAGAUGCCUUAGUGCCUUCGGGAACCGUGAGACAGGUGCUGCAUGGCUGUCGUCAGCUCGUGUUGUGAAAUGUUGGGUUAAGUCCCGCAACGAGCGCAACCCUUAUCCUUUGUUGCCAGCGAUUCGGUCGGGAACUCAAAGGAGACUGCCGGUGAUAAACCGGAGGAAGGUGGGGAUGACGUCAAGUCAUCAUGGCCCUUACGGCCAGGGCUACACACGUGCUACAAUGGCGCAUACAAAGAGAAGCGACCUCGCGAGAGCAAGCGGACCUCAUAAAGUGCGUCGUAGUCCGGAUCGGAGUCUGCAACUCGACUCCGUGAAGUCGGAAUCGCUAGUAAUCGUGGAUCAGAAUGCCACGGUGAAUACGUUCCCGGGCCUUGUACACACCGCCCGUCACACCAUGGGAGUGGGUUGCAAAAGAAGUAGGUAGCUUAACCUUCGGGAGGGCGCUACCAACCU
rnacentral:rRNA from 1 species